UACGGGGGGGGCAAGCGUUGUUCGGAAUUACUGGGCGUAAAGGGCGCGUAGGCGGCUUUUCAAGUCGGGCGUGAAAUCUCCGGGCUUAACCUGGAAGGGUCGUUCGAUACUGUCGAGCUAGAGUGUGGAAGAGGCUACUGGAAUUCCGUGUGUAGCGGUGAAAUGCGUAGAUAUACGGAAGAACACCCGUGGCGAAGGCGGCUCUCUGGGACGGUACUGACGCUGAGACGCGAAAGCGUGGGGAGCGAACAGG
rnacentral:rRNA from 1 species